rnacentral:rRNA from 1 species
AUUGAACGCUGGCGGCAAGCCUAACACAUGCAAGUCGAACGAGUGGCGGACGGGUGAGUAAUGUCUGGGAAACUGCCUGAUGGAGGGGGAUAACUCCUGGAAACGGUAGCUAAUACCGCAUACCAUCGGAUGUGCCCCGAUGGGAUUAGCUAGUAGGUGGGGUAAAGGCUCACCUAGGCGACGCUCCCUAGCUGGUCCGAGAGGAUGACCAGACACACGGGAACUGAUACACGGUCGAGACUCUUACGGGAGGCAGCAGUGGGGAAUAUUGCACAAUGGGAGAAAGCCUGAUGCAGCCAUGCCGCGUGUAUGAAGAAGUCCUUAGGGUUGUAAAGUACUUUCAGCGGGAAGGCGUUACCCGCAGAAGAAGCACCGGGUAACUCCGUGCCAGCAGACGCGGUAAUAC